rnacentral:rRNA from 1 species
GUGCAGCAGGCGAGAAUUUUUCUCAAUGGGGGCAACCCUGAAGGAGCGACGCCGCGUGGAGGAUGAAGGCUUUCGGGUUGUAAACUCCUGUCAUUUGGGAACAAGUUGGACGCAGUAACUACGCGUCCAUUGAUAGUACCAGAAGAGGAAGGGACGGCUAACUCUGUGCCAGCAGCCGCGGUAAUACAGAGGUCCCAAGCGUUGUUCGGAUUCAUUGGGCGUAAAGGGUGCGUAGGUGGCGCCGUAAGUGGGGUGUGAAAUUUCGGAGCUUAACUCCGAAACUGCAUUCCAUACUGCGGUGCUUGAGGACUGGAGAGGAGACUGGAAUUCAUGGUGUAGCAGUGAAAUGCGUAGAGAUCAUGAGGAAGACCAGUGGCGAAGGCGGGUCUCUGGACAGUUCCUGACACUGAGGCACGAAGGCCAGGGGAGCAAACGGGAUUAGAUACCCCUGUAGU